rnacentral:rRNA from 1 species
UAUAUAAAUAAAUUUAUUUUUAGUAUUAAAUUAGAAAAAUUUUUAAAAUUUAUAAAGUAUUAGUAUUGUAAAAUAAUUUAUUUAAUUAAAAAAAGAAUAUUUUAUUAAUAGUAUCUUGUGUAUCAGAGUUAAUUAAAUUUUAUUUAUAAAUAUAAAUAUUUUGAAUUUUUUUUUGAUCAAUAAAAUUAAAAUAAUUAAAGUUUUAUAUUUAUUAUAAAUAAUUUUAUAGGAAUAAAAGGUUAAUCGUUAAAAAAUAUAUCUAAUUUUUUUAGAAAGUUAUUUAAUUAUUAAUUAAUUUAUUAUUAUUAUUAAUUAUGAUGAUAAUAAUAAAUUAAUUAAAUAAUUUUAGGGAUAAACUUAAAAUUAUUUUUAUAUAAUAAUUAUAAAAUAAAAAAAAAGUAAGAUUUUUAUUUUUUAUCUAAUAAAAUUUUAUUAAAAAUAAUUUUUUUAUAUAUUAAAUUUAUUAUUAUUAUUGAUUUUUAUAUAAAAAAAUUAUUAUUAAUUUAAUUAAUUAAUUUAAAAUGAUUAAAUUAGUAAAUAAAAUUUUUAUAAAAUAAAUUUAUUUAAAUUUAAUUAAAAUGAAUUUGGCAAAAUUAUUUUUACCUGUUUAAUAAAAACAUGUCUAUUUGAAAAGAUUAAAUAGUCGAGUCUGCCCAUUGAUUAUUUUAAAGGCUGCAGUAUUUUAACUGUACAAAGGUAGCGUAAUCAUUAGUUUUUUAAUUGAAAACUUGAAGAAAGAUUUAAUAAAAAUAAGCUUUAUUUUUAUUAAUUAUUUAAAUUUUUAUUUAAGUUAAAAAACUUAAAUAUUUAAAAAAGACAAUAAGACCCUAUAAAACUUUAAUUUUAUUAAAUUUAUUAAAAUAAAAUUUUAAUUGGGGAAAUUAUUAGAUUGUAUUAAUUCUUUAUUAUAUAAAUUAUUUAAUAAAAAUUUGAGAUCUUAUAUUAAGGUAUUAAAGAAUUAGUUGCUUUAGGGAUAACAGCAUAAUAAAAAUUUAUAGUUCUUAUAUAAAUUUUUGAUUGUGACCUCGAUGUUGGAUUUAAAUAAAUUAUAAAUAGAAGAGUAUUUAUAAUUUAGUCUGUUCGACUUAAAAUUUAACAUGAUCUGAGUUAAAAUCGGUGUG